UACGUAGGGUGCAAGCGUUAAUCGGAAUACUGGGCGUAAAGCGUGCGCAGGCGGUUUUGUAAGUUUGUCGUGAAAGCCCCGGGCUCGAACCUGGGAAUUGCGAUGAAGACUGCAAGGCUUGGAUCUGGCAGAGGGGGGUAGAAUUCCGACGGUGUAGCAGUGAAAUGCGUGAGAGAUGUGGAGGAACACCGAUGGCGAAGGCAGCCCCCUGGGUCAAGAUUGACGCUCGAUGCACGAAAGCG
rnacentral:rRNA from 1 species